GCCCCGCGUGCAUCUUCCGUGCCGACCCCGCAGCCUGCGCCCGCCCCUUCCCCUGCACGCGGCCCCGCGUCGGGGAGGUUUCCGGCCCGGGGCCCGACUGCGGGUGGCAUUUCUGGCUAAGCCGUUAGGCGCGAAUUUUGUGUGGCCAGAAAACACAGGGCACGUUACCCGGUAUCGUGGUCUACACCUCGCUCACAAAUCCAUCCCAGGCUUGGAAACUUAUUAAAAAUUCCAACAUGAUCUUUAUGAAACUUGAUAGACUUACUCUAAAAUGUGAAUGAAGAGAGGAGGUCCACAAAUUAGCCGACUUUGUGAAGAAGGAUAAAGAGGCAUUUGUACCCUUCUAGAUAUUAAUAUAUAUCAAGAAAAAGUCAUGUUUAUAGAACGUUAUGGUAUUGGCACAGAACAGACAAAAAAUCUAUAGAAUGCAGUGGAGAGCUCAGAAGCUGACCUACAAAUACAUAGAACUUAAAAUAUGUGACCAAUAGCGGCACCACAAAUCAAUGUAGAAAUACAAAUUGUUUAGUGAAUGUGUGAUAAAAUGAGCUCAUUAGAUCCAAACAAUAAAAAGUAGAUCUCCACCUAGCGCAUGCCCACAGGUGGACGCCACGUGGAAUAAAGACCUACAUAUGAAAGAUAAGACUUUAACAGAAAGAAGUAUAAAAAAUAGCAGAAUAUUUUUAUGACUUAGUAAUGGAGAAGGAUGUCUUAAACAACACCUCAAAACACAAACCACAAGGGAAAAAUGGAUUGCAUUUUUUUGUGUGUAACAACUGAAGCCUUCUGUUUAGUGAAGGACCUUGUGGACGUUAACGGACAGAAGUUAGAUACAGUGGGAGAAGUGUUUUGCAAUGUCUCAAACUGACAAGUCAUUAAUAUAUGAAAUAUGCAAGUAACUCCUAUAUUUCAACAAAAACGAGGAGGCAACAACCUCAGUAAAAAAGGGGAAAAGGCAAUUUAUGGAAGAGAAAAACCCGAAAAGGCCUAAUUUACUGAAGAAAAUGUUUCCAAACUGAAGAUAAUUUAAGUGAUGCUUAAACCUAUCAAUAUUUUAAAAAGUGCAAAGUGAAUGACAUCACUUUAUUUAUUUAUUAGACAAGAUCUUGCCCUGCCAUCCAGACUGGAGUGCAAUGGUGCGAUCUCAGCUCACUGCAACCUCCACCUCCCGGGUUCAAGCGAUUCUCCUUCCUCAGUCUUAUGAGUAGUUGGGAUUACAGGCAUGUGCCACUGUGCCUGGGUAAUUUUUUUAAUUUUUAGUAGAGACAGGGUUUCCCUAUGUUGGCCAGGCUGGUCUUGAAUUCCUGACCUCAAGUGAUCUGUCUGCCUCUGUCUCCCAAAGUGCUGGGAUUACAGGCGUGAUCCACCACUCCCGGCCUGACAUCACAUUACUUCUUCAGAUUGGCAAAAAUUACAAAUUGGGUGAUGCCUAGCCUCAGUAGAAACAUAAGGUCCCAGGCUCCAGGGACCUCUGGCACUGCUGCUGUGAUUAGAGCAGUUCAGGUUAAGUGUGGUACAGUCUGAUUAAAAAUCAGAAGCAGCGUCUUCACAAUUAAGGCAAUUCUUAUUUUAAUGUUGGGCAUACAUUUUCUAGUCUUUAUCUGUCUAUCUUUUCUGUUACAUUAAUGAAAUAAGAAUGAGUCUUGAAGUUAAUAUUCUGCAUUUUACACUCAAAAUGUAUCAGGAAUACAUUCAAAUAUUGGUAUAGUACUUAUUAUUGUCAGCAAAUGCUACGCAGCUGAAGAUUUUAUUUGUUUACCUAUUUUUGUAGUGUUGAUACCACUGCAACAACCAUUUGGGGAACAUAGUUCCUCCACUGUCCUCUGCUGGAAUGUUUACUUUUAGAUAAAUUUCCAGGAGUACGUUAUUAGAAAUGAGAGUAAACGGAAUGUUUUGGCUCUAUACAUUUGUAGCAAUAGUUGAAGGAGUUGAUGUGGAAGAUACUGGUGUCUUCUGUGGUCGCUAACCCUGGGAUGAUCCACGAGCCAGUAGGGCCACCCAACUUCUUAAGCAUCCCUCUUCUAGUGCGUAGGAGAAAGCCAUGAUUGCCAAGGCUCUUCUUGCCCCCUCCUCCAAGCCAUGUAAACAAAUCGUCCCUCAAGCCCAUCCGGACCCUGUAAUGCCAUGGCUUGUUUGCACCUGCAUAGAUAGCAGAUCAUGAGAGUGUGCACAGCAUAUAAUGCCUUCUCAGUGCAUGUUGGGUGUAUGAAUAAAUAAGUGAAUAAACAAGUAAGUGAAUGAAUGAAAGCAAGCAUCCAGGAAGCGCUGCAGCUCAGUCUAGUCUUUUCCCAGGGCAAACACCCAGUAGGUGGCGCUGUUGCACCGGCGGUUGCAAACCGUCAGAGCAUGUUUAAACAGAGCUCUCUGACUCUGGGACAGAGGAAGUGGAAAACCUGUGUCUUCGAAUCACGUCAUUUGGUUUGAAGAUGGAUUAGUGUGAAAAUAAAUGUAUUUUAACGUCAUUAAAAUAAUCCUUAGUA